AAAGCAAAGCAAAGCAUUUUUGCUGUUUUAAAACAUGUAAAUUGCGCUAAAAUUAUAUUAAAAACUACUAUAAAUGUCAGGUGUUCAUAUUUAUAAUUCAAACUGUACACCCUUACUAAGACCAUCUACUGUACAUGUGUA